UUAUGUCUUGUGAGAAAAAGUGUUUUGUCUCUGUUUCAAUACUAGAAGUUAAGAUCUUAAAAUUUUCAGUGUAUAAUGUUCAUAGAAUGUUUGUUACAGGCCCUUGCUCCUAUAGACUUUUAGAAUUUUUAGGUAAAUGGCUUUCAAAAGUUGUUAGGAUAUAUUAAUUGGCUUUAUCUUAUAUUUACCUCAUUUUAAGCUUGCCACAGAAGGUCUUAAACCUCUGUUUUCAAGGUAGGAAACGUUUGUUCCUUGCUUUAAGCAACAAUCAAAUUUAUUAUUAAUGGUUGAUCUAUUACAUGGCAAGCAUUUUUAGGCAAAAUUAAUAAUUGUUAUCCAAAAGAUAAUUUGUACUAUCAGAUCACAUGUUUAUUCCUUUAAGUUUCUCCCUGCUUCAACACAGAUACCUGAAUUGGGUGCUAUAGCAGCUAUUUUUAAGAUGUUAAAGGUCAAGCUUUUAAUAAUAGUAGAUAUACAUAGCUCAUGGUUUAUAAUUGCUUAAAAUUGGUCCAUUUUUAAUACUGCUAAUUCUUAAUAUUUACAGUUUAUACAAAUGUGAUUCAAAUUUCUAAGAACAAAGGAUAUAUUCUCUAAAUGACUGUCCUUUAGGUAUUUGAAAUAAUUUUAUAUUUUGUGCACAUCAAAUUAUAAAGAUUUGUUCUUGAUGUCCUCAAUUUCUACCUCUACCACGUAAUGGUGUUAAUCCUAGAGGACUUAGUUAUUACAGAUAAAUGAUAUUCAUAUUUCUAAUUUAAAAGAUUAAAAAAAUAUGUACAUGUGACUAAUGAUUCAUUUUUAGGCUGUCUAGUUGCAACUGCUCUAACAGAAAAAGCAACUAUAUUUUAUAUAAUUACAUAGUUAUUGCCUAUGUUAUGGGUUAUACUUUGUGUUCCAACUUAAAUUAAUAAAACAAUAUCUUCUUGGAAGAAAGAAGAGAGGGGAAAUUGUGUCCCUGUGCAUAUAAUUUAAAUUAUGCUUACAUGUUUUUAAGAAAAUUUUAAAAUUUUAAAAUUUAGAUGCCAAGAAACUCCUUGCUAAAUGUAUAUGACAUCUUGUAAUUAGACAUAUUGAUGUCUAGGUGAAAUGAAGGAAUUCACUUACUAACAUAUGCCAUGAUCCUGAUUUAAUAUUGGGGGAGAAGGCAUGUCCUCUGUUUUUUCCACAGAAUGCUGCAGAAGAUAUGCUGACUGUGUGCUUGCUGAAUGCCCAGACCAUGGUAACAUAAGAGCUAUAUUGGAUAUAUGUUCUUGACUUACCUCAAUUGUUAAAUGUCCCAGGUUAGAUAAAUUGCCUAGCUUCAAGCUUUUAGACUUUGUGGGACAGAACAUGGAGACUGUUAUGCUAGCUUAGGAAAAAUUAAUUAGAAGAGUUAAAAUGACUCUUCUCCUUAUUGUGUUCAGCUGACUCAACCAUAGACUGGUCUAGAAAUAAUUCCAAUAUUGAAGAUUCCAAUUUUGAAGAUGGCUAACAAUCUUCAGCCAGCUGUGUUAAUUUAACAUAUAGUCUCCACUUUUCCUGAGAAGUAACAGCUUAAUUCUUGAUUCACAAGGCUACCUCUCCCACCUCAGAGGCCAAGCUUUGGAUCCUUAAAGUUGUUAAUUUACAACUGAAUUGGAUACUUCUGGGACAAGUUAAUCCUAUUCCACCUUUAACUCUUGACCUUGUCUGUUAAGCAGACUGGCUGUCUCCACCCAGGCUCACCUGGAUGGAGAGAUUACAUGUCUGUUAAAGACACUUGCAGACCCCCCUGGCUUCAAAACUUACACAAGUGGAUCUCCAAAGAGGGAGCCACAUAGAACUCAGAUCUAUGUGUGUUUGUUUUUGAACAAACAUGGGUACCAGCGAGACGUGCGAGGCAAAGCACUGCAUGGGGAGGUGAAUUUCUGCUUCUGAGUCCCCAGGAAGUACACCUAAUUGCAUAGGGGUUAACGUCGAGAGGCUGUCCUUAAAAUAAUAAGGGAGCCUAUUACCCCUCCUCUGAAAAAGACGUUAUACAAUAUUUAAGAGGAAUUACGGUCAAUGCUUCCCCUCCUGGUUAAGGCCCGCCUUCUUAUGAAGGAUAUUUAUCCACUUGUUUUCUACCUCCUCGUGUUCAAAUUAAUAAAAAAAGGGAGGACAUGUACAGAGCCAUAUUGGGGCAGUCUUGCACUUGGUCAGAGUUUGACUUUGGUCAAGGUUAACUUCUCCCAGUUAGCCAGGAUUCUGCUCCACUUAGGGUGGAGCGCACGUAGUAAAGGUUAAGUUCAUUGUUCUUCCUGGUAUAGGGAUUCCUGAAUUAAACAGGUGACCCACCCAGCUGCCGGAGCAGUCAAGACGAAGACCUCCAAGAGAAGCUAGACAACUUCCACCGGAACUCAGCCUGGAGUCUGGGGGGAGGGUUUGCCCAAACUGUUAAAAGGUCCGGCGCCAUUAAAGUUUACGGCUUCGAUCAGUGAA